GAACUGAGUUCUGAAGCACAGCAAAUAUUAGGUGUAAAGAAAUUUAUGAUUUUUUUCUAAUAGGUGUAUACAGUGCCUAAGGGCAGCAGGACCUGAGGGGGUGGCAUAGUCUUUCAUCUCCCAGAAGCCACCCCUGUUGGCAUUGAGCUCAGCUUGCCUGGCAGAAACAGACCUGGUGACCCGGUGUCAGCACCCUACUCUCGCCUCUGUUACAUCAGACGCCAUUAUACACGAGUUGCGUCCAGCACAGACACCUGACCGCAGCUCAGAUGAGUGUUGAGUCUCACGGUCAGUGAUGGCGUGAUGCGGCAAGCGGGGGAUAUGCACUGCGCAGGAGAGGUGCCUUCCUGUCCCUGCUCCGCUGCACCAGCUGGACAGGUGCCUUCCUGUCCACCCUCCGCUGCACCAGCCUACUUCAGAGUCAGGCAAGACAAUAUAAGCGGGUGUCCCAGAGAACCCGGCCCCGCCUGCCGCCACAACAGUAGAACCAACACUAUCAGGAAAGGGCAUGGAGGAGGAGGCUGCACUGAGAAGAUGACAGCCGGGUCCGUGGAUGGCAGAGCGGGUUGACACCUGCGAGAAGCAGCGGACAUCCAGGGGUUACCCUUUCACCUUAUUUCAGUUACGGAUAUUUAUUCCAUCACACUGGAAGAUGAUGAGAAAGUCUUAGCUAUGUGCCCUGCAUCCUGCAUAAGGAACUGUGAACUGUCAUCUGUAUGCUAUAGUUCCCCUCUGACUUCUGAGCAUGUAAUUUGUGAUGCAAAUAGAACUACAGAUCAGUGUGAAGAGGGCAAGAAAGGCAGCAGUCUGCUUCCAACCAGGAUCCUGCCCUAGUAAAAGUGAUCUCUCUCUGUGUCUAAGAUAAUGGACACUGCACAAUGAAGGUCAGGGGUCAUCCAAA